GAGUUUGAUCGUGGCUCAGGAUGAACGCUAGCGGCAGGCCUAAUACAUGCAAGUCGAGGGGCAGCGCGGGUAGCAAUACCUGGCGGCGACCGGCGCACGGGUGCGUAACACGUAUACAAUCUGCCUUUAACAGGGGGAUAGCCCGGAGAAAUCCGGAUUAAUACCCCAUAAUAUAUUGAGUGGCAUCACUUGAUAUUGAAAGCUCCGGCGGUUAGAGAUGAGUAUGCGCCUGAUUAGUUAGUUGGUGAGGUAACGGCUCACCAAGACUUCGAUCAGUAGGGGAUCUGAGAGGACUACCCCCACACGAGUACU
rnacentral:rRNA from 1 species